rnacentral:rRNA from 1 species
CCUACGGGAGGCAGCAGUGAGGAAUAUUGGUCAAUGGCCGGAAGGCUGAACCAGCCAAGCCGCGUGAAGGACGAAGGUGUCAAGCAUUGUAAACUUCUUUUGCCAAGGGACAAAAUCAGGCUCGAGAGCCUGACCGAGGGUACUUGAAGCAAAAGCAUCGUCUAACUCCGUGCCAGCAGCCGCGGUAAUACGGAGGAUGCGAGCGUUAUCCGGAUUUAUUGGGUUUAAAGGGUGCGUAGGGGGACUGUUAAGUCAGCGGUAAAAGCCCGGGGCUCAACCCCGGCGAGCCGUUGAAACUGGGUGUCUUGAGAUGUCGAGAGGUAUGCGGAAUGCGCAGUGUAGCGGUGAAAUGCGUAGAUAUUGCGCAGAACUCCGGUUGCGAAGGCAGCAUGCCGGCGGCGAUCUGACGCUGAGGCACGAAAGCGUGGGUAUCGAACAGGAUUAGAUACCCGGGUAGUC